GAAGAAACAAGGUCCAAUCAGCCGGCUCUGUCUGCCCUGCUCUUCACUCUUCCCCGAGCCUCCCCGACUGCACGGUGCCCUGCCCACAGUGGUGACCUACGCGGAAACUGAAGUAUUGUGGAUCUGCUGGUCUUGUUUCUCCUGUGAAACAUUCAGAGUCAAAUAUUCCUUAACUCUGAGAUGGAGUUUGGUCUUAAAACAACCUAAGAAAUGGCUUGACACUUUCACGGUUCCAAGGAGGGCAUAAUUUGCAUAUGAGCGAGAUGACAAUGCCUAAGCACAGAAUUUCACCCACCAUGAGAAGAACAGACUCCUCCACCAAGUACUCCUACCAUGAUGGGCUGUCUAACAAUAAGGCCAAGUGACCAUGGACUGAAAUCUGUGAAAUUAUUCACCAAAAUAAAUCAUUUUUUCUUUUCA